CCUCAUUCUCUGUAGGGUAAGCUUAUUUCACCCAUGUGAUUUUGAGCCGAGCAAUUCUAAGAAGUAAGAGAAUGACAACAUACACCUGAAAAUCUAAAUAGAAACAGGCAAAAUGGGAUCAACUUGAAGGUAGGAAAACAAAUUUAUCUUAUCCGUUUAGCAAAUGAGCCUUCUCAGAUGCUUGAUGUCUUCCAUCAAAUGUUUCCCUUUAGAUUGCCCAGAGGCUUUUAAAAAUAGCACAAAUAACAGUGGCAUCCACUGCAGCUCUGCACACCUAAAUGCAAGUUUUUUUACCGAGAGGACAGUGGAAGUUGGCACAUCCAUUACGUGUGCACCAGCAAGGAGCAGCCUGCUGCUGUCUGGAGGAAAAUCAGCUCGGGAGAAAUGGAAUUAAGGUCCAAGGAUGUUCAUUGAUUAUUAAAAGAAAACAAAUGGAGCUAAAAUUCCACUGCCUUCCAACUCGCAUGAAGAAACACUGAUGCUGAAAAGCUUUUAUUAAAGACAGCCAAGUACCACCAUGGUAAAAAGAUUCCUACAUGAUCUUAAGGCAUACAGGAACUGCAAAUUCUCUCAUUUAAAAUGUAUAUAGUACCCUGUAAAACAAAUUAAGACAUUCACUAUUUGUAGUAUUAUAUUUCAGUCAGUUUUAAAUCUAAUUAAUCUGACUUUUAAAGCAUUUUAAUUUCCUAUACAAAAGUCUGUAUCUUUUUCAAUUCCAAUCAAACAUGUUUACUAGGAAUUCAGUUGAAACCAAACAAAAAUCUGAUUUUUUUGGUAUUGCCACCAAACCGUGAGUACUAAUAUCU
rnacentral:lncRNA from 1 species